UACUGAGGGUGCAAGCGUUAAUCGGAAUUACUGGGCGUAAAGCGCGCGUAGGCGCUUGGUCAGUUGGAUGUGAAAGCCCCGGGCUUAACCUGGGAACUGCAUUCAAUACUGCCAAGCUAGAGUAUGGGAGAGGGCUGUGGAAUUCCACGUGUAGCGGUGAAAUGCGUAGAUAUGUGGAGGAACAUCAGUGGCGAAGGCGGCAGCCUGGCCCAAUACUGACGCUGAGGUGCGAAAGCGUGGGGAGCAAACAGGAUUAGAUACCCCUGUA
rnacentral:rRNA from 1 species